UUACUAUAAUUCUUUAGUUUAACACAGUUUACGUGCAUAAUUCUGAUGAAACCUGAAAUUAUUGGUCAUUGAAAAAACAAUGCCAGCGAAAAAAAGUGAAAAGCUCAGUAGUGUUUUCUACAUAAUAUAUGAUACAGAAAGGGAGCCAAUGAUAUCUCUGAAAGAAAUUUGGGAGUGUAUUACAUUAUUUUUGCAUCGCAUAUAUUCACUAUGAAUAUGAAAGACUGGAAUUAAAAAAAAAAAAAAAAAAAAAAAAAAAAAAAAAAAAACGAAAUUUACCGCUAUAAGUACUGGUAAGAUUUGUAAACAAUAAAUAGUACAAAUCUUCCAAUGCAAAAAUCCUGCCUCGCGCGGAAUGAUUUCUGGCCGAUUUCAAAAAUUGAAGGUGAAACAGCGAUGGAAUACCUCUUGCUCCCGUCCCGUCCAUGCUGAAUCCGUUUCCCCUACAUUUUCAUCAGCAACUCUCAAUCGAUGAAAUGAAGCCCUACGAUAGUGCAUGUUACCAGAAUAUUAUGUUGAAGUGCUUGAUAAAAUUACCAAUCAACAAUUUAUUUUUUACUCCACGGAGGAAUAAGAAUCGUUGCUCGUAUGAUCUUCAUAGAUGAUUCAAGAUCCAACUACUUUUCUUGUCGUGGUUACGAUCACCUAGGUGGAAGCCCCAGGCCGUGGAAGCAGUCAUGAACGGAUUUCGGGGAAACUCGGGGAGCCGGUCCUCCCACUGCGACAACCCCUCCCUCCAGAGGCAGAUCAAAGCCCUGGAAACCCUCUACCUGACGAAGAAACAAGAACUCGAGGAGAGCGAGCAGCGACUCCAGACCCUGGAACACAACCUGGAGAAGCUCUGCGGGCGCGUCAUCUACGAGGAGCUCAGCCAAAGCGCCGCGGCCAAGAUCCGCGUGGAGAUAUGCCGCUCGGUCUGCGGGUCCGGACGCCGCUCCGCCGACGCCACGAGACGCGGGGGCCGCAGAGCCAACGGCUUGGACAGCGGGCGGAGCCGCGUCUCCGACUCGGAGGACAACGAGUCGCGGGUGUCCAAGUCCUCGACGAGCAACGGAAAGCGCGGCGGCUCUUGGAGCGAGAGCGAGGAUCCUCGGCCGGUGUCCGGCAUCGGGCGGGGUCGCAGAUAUUCCAGCGUGGACGAAGACCAAGUGCGAGUGCCCGGCAACGGAAGAACCCGCGGAUAUUGGAGCGUGGACGAGGACGCGGUGAGCGAGGACGACGAGAGCUUCUCGGACGACGAUCGGGCGCUGGCGUACAUCUGCGCGGACGUGGCCCUCCGCUCGACGGUGGACGAGCUGGCGCGUGGCCUGCGGGCGGAGCACCGGGUGAAGGUGGCGACGAGCUCGGAGCGGCUCAUGGAGUCGUGGACGUUGGAGCUGCUCCGGCGGGAGAAGCGCGGGCGGCUUCGGGCCGGCGACGUGGUCGUCCUCAUGGUCGGCCGCCUCGACGCCACCCGGAGCCGCGUCUUCGAGCUCCGCGACCAGAUGCAGGUCCUGAUGGCCGGGCUCCGCUCCGAGGUGGCCGUCGUCGUCGUCGGCGUCACCGAGAGGUACGACCUCCACCAGAGCGACAAGAUGAACACCAACAUCAAGAGGCUCAACCACUGGCUCCGGGAGGUCGUCGGGCCGUGGGGCCAUCGGGCCGGCUUCGUGGACGUCGCGCAUCUCGGCCCGGAGAGCUUCAACGGUCAGUUCCUCAACGCGCUGGCUAGGAAGGAUUUGGUGGCCGCCGUCCUGGAUCGCGUUCGGAGUGUCCAGCAACGAUGCUUGGCCACCUGCGGCAACUACGGGCGGGAUUAAAUAUCCGCGCUUCCUGAGGGGGCUUCGGAUGGACGUCAUCUCCUCCAACCGAAAAAAGGACCUUUCGAAUCUCGUCUAUUAUGCAUCCGUCCACCAUGUUCUCUCGUUUUGGAUUUAUCAGUUUUCAUCAUCAUUAUCAAGAGAUUGGUGAUUCAUUCGACAGUGUUAUCAAGUCUUUAAUUUGUUUUUCUACAAGUUUAUCUAACGGUCCUCAAUUAACGCUGACAGUAGAGAGGAAAGAUAGAACAACCGUCCUAGUUCGUCGUAAACAUUUCAAGUUUCAACAAAUUUUGAAUGUUUCGUACGAGUUCCUAUUCUAGUCGAUCUUGUAUCCCCAAAUGCGAGAAUAUUCGAUAAGAAAAUAUUUCUUCUUGCCGUUCAACUAAAAAAACAUUCUCCUUACUUUUAUAUUAAGCAAAAAUCUAUCAUUUGAAACAGCUGCAAAUCUUAAGCCUCCAUAACUGGGGGCAUUUUAUCGAUGAGCUCGCUUGCCUCCAUUUAACAAACAUAAAAAGAAUCGUAAAAUUGUGUCUCAAGUCAGUUGUAGCUGAAUCGUUAUUCUAAUUCAUAUCUGUCCAAAUAAGCUCUAAGCGGAGGGAUUUCGUGGAUGCUCGAAGUUCAUUGUGCUGAACCCUGUCGGAACUUUACGUGAACAUUCUGUUGGAAGUUUCGUCGCUAGAUGGCGUGAGCGACAUCUUGCGGGAGUGCGGAGGAGCUUUCGUGCGCGCGAAAGUUGAGAUGCGGGGGUGAAUUUGAAUAGUCUUCAGUGCGCUAUGAAACGGUCUGUCAGUGCGGUCACGUGUUGUUGCCGCGGGAUUUCACACGGUCGGAACAAGUUUGAUCGAAAGAGGAGACAAAAAAUCAAAUAAGUCUCCAAAUUACACCCACACAUUUUGGAAUCUACAGCCAGGAGUCUCUCAUCAGACGGUCCCGAAUACGAUGCGGCGCAUCCCUCCGGGAAUGAAAAGCCGCCCUUAACCGCUCCACCCU